UACGUAGGGUGCGAGCGUUGUCCGGAAUUAUUGGGCGUAAAGAGCUCGUAGGCGGUGUGUCGCGUCGGCCGUGAAAACCUGCAGCUUAACUGUGGGCUUGCGGUCGAUACGGGCAUCACUGGAGUUCGGCAGGGGAGACUGGAAUUCCUGGUGUAGCGGUGAAAUGCGCAGAUAUCAGGAGGAACACCGAUGGCGAAGGCAGCUCGCUGGGACGGUACUGACGCUGAGGCGCGAAAGCGUGGGGAGCGAACAGG
rnacentral:rRNA from 1 species